rnacentral:rRNA from 1 species
UACGGAGGGUCCAAGCGUUAUCCGGAAUCAUUGGGUUUAAAGGGUCCGUAGGCGGUUUUGUAAGUCAGUGGUGAAAGCCCAUCGCUCAACGGUGGAACGGCCAUUGAUACUGCUAAACUUGAAUUAUUAGGAAGUAACUAGAAUAUGUAGUGUAGCGGUGAAAUGCUUAGAGAUUACAUGGAAUACCAAUUGCGAAGGCAGGUUACUACUAAUGGAUUGACGCUGAUGGACGAAAGCGUGGGUAGCGAACAGG